rnacentral:rRNA from 1 species
AGUGAACGCUGGCGGUAGGCCUAACACAUGCAAGUCGAACGGCAGCACAGUAAGAGCUUGCUCUUACGGGUGGCGAGUGGCGGACGGGUGAGGAAUAAAUCGGAAUCUACUUUUUCGUGGGGGAUAACGUAGGGAAACUUACGCUAAUACCGCAUACGACCUACGGGUGAAAGCAGGGGAUCUUCGGACCUUGCGCGAUUGAAUGAGCCGAUGUCGGAUUAGCUAGUUGGCGGGGUAAAGCCCACCAAGGCGACGAUCCGUAGCUGGUCUGAGAGGAUGAUCAGCCACACUGGAACUGAGACACGGUCCAGACUCCUACGGGAGGCAGCAGUGGGGAAUAUUGGACAAUGGGCGCAAGCCUGAUCCAGCCAUACCGCGUGAGUGAAGAAGGCCUUCGGGUUGUAAAGCCCUUUUGUUGGGAAAGAAAAGCAGCAGGUUAAUACCCCGCUGUUCUGACGGUACCCAAAGAAUAAGCACCGGCUAACUUCGUG